rnacentral:rRNA from 1 species
AUUGAACGCUGGCGGCAGCCCAACCACAUGCAAGCCGAACGAGUGGCGGCGGGGGGGGUAUUGUCUGGGAACUUGCUUGUGGGAGGGGGAUAACUACGGGAAACGGUAGUUAAUCCCGCUUACCAUCGGUUGUGCCCGGUGGGGAUUAGCUAGUUGGUGGGGUAACGGCUCACCAGGGCGACGAGCCCUAGCUGGGCUGAGGGGAGGACCAGCCACACUGGAACUGAGACACGGUCCAGACUCCUACGGGAGGCAGCAGUGGGGAAUAUUGCACAAUUGGCGCAAGCCUGAUGCAGCCAUGCCGCGUGUAUGAAGAAGGCCUUCGGGUUGUAAAGUACUUUCAGCGGGGAGGCGUUACCCGCAGAAGAAGCACCGGCUAACUCCGUGCCAGCAGCCGCGGUAAUUCC